UCUACCUUUACGAAAUUCGUCGGCCGCGACCCACGGAAUUCUACCUUAGUAGUCAUUUUUCAACCUUAAACAGCCAGAAUCAAGAACUAUCAAGAACUCUUUAGUACAGAGUACAGAAUAUCAGGCAUGUAAAUAAAAAAGAAUUUCAAAUUUCAAAUACGUGGCAGCUGUCAAAAUCCUUCAAUCUGAUAUCUGCUGCGACGAAAAAUUAUUGCCAAAAAAAACACAAAAAAUAGAAAAGACAAAAAGUAAAAAAUACUAAAGAGAAGAAAUAUUUUGGAUAAAAAUGCCUUACCAGCACGGAUGCUACAGGGACUUCAAUCUUGGAACGUUUGCGAGAUGUCCAGGGGGCUGCGAUCCACCUAUGGCGAGAUGCUGCUGCCAGCCCUGCGUGCAAGGCUGCUGCUGCUGCCCAACAGGGCCGUGUUGUAACUGCCACGGCUGCUACUGCUGAUGUAGUAACGUGAAGUCUUUCUUGUGCUGUAAUGUAAUAAACCGUUGACAAAA